GACGAACGCUGGCGGCGUGCUUAACACAUGCAAGUCGAACGGAAAGGCCCUGCUUUUGUGGGGUGCUCGAGUGGCGAACGGGUGAGUAACACGUGAGUAACCUGCCCUUGACUUUGGGAUAACUUCAGGAAACUGGGGCUAAUACCGGAUAGGAGCUCCUGCUGCAUGGUGGGGGUUGGAAAGUUUCGGCGGUUGGGGAUGGACUCGCGGCUUAUCAGCUUGUUGGUGGGGUAGUGGCUUACCAAGGCUUUGACGGGUAGCCGGCCUGAGAGGGUGACCGGCAACAUUGGGACUGAGAUACGGCCCAGACUCCUACGGGGGGCAGCAGUGGGGAAUAUUGCACAAUGGGCGGAAGCCUGAUGCAGCAACGCCGCGUGCGGGAUGACGGCCUUCGGGUUGUAAACCGCUUUCGCCUGUGACGAAGCGUGAGUGACGGUAAUGGGUAAAGAAGCACCGGCUAACUACGUG
rnacentral:rRNA from 1 species